rnacentral:rRNA from 1 species
CCCUUAGGUGUUCUGGGCCGCACGCGCGCUACACUGAUGCAUUCAACGAGUUUCUUCCUGGUCCGAGAGGAAUGGGUAACCUUUUGAAAGUGCAUCGUGAUAGGGAUAGACUAUUGCAAUUAUUGGUCUUCAACGAGGAAUUCCUAGUAGACGUAGUUCAUCAGACUGCAUCGAUUACGUCCCUGCCCUUUGUACACACCGCCCGUCGCUCCUACCGAUUGAAUGCUCAGGUGAGCCAUUCGGACCUUCAUCAUGCCGGUUUCCGGUUUUGAUGAGGGGAAGUCUUGCGAACCUUAUCAUUUAGAGGAAGGAGAAGUCGUAACA